UGCGUGUACGAGGUUAAACUCUUUAUAAAGAGGUUCAAAAAAUGGCGGACUGGGUGAGCGUCGUCGAUUCGUGCGCCCUCUAGCGGUCUUCUCUGUAAAUGAAGCUCCGCUCUGGCCCAGGAGAGUGAAGGAAAGAUGGCGGCCGGAGCUGAAGUGGCCAGUGGCGGCGGCCGCAGCAGCAGCAGCAGCGGCAGCAGCUCCUCGGCUGCCCUGGAAGCGAGUCUGGACCGUCGAUUUCAAGGAGUUACGAACACCAUGGAGUCCAUUCAGAGCUUAUCGUCCUGGUGCCUGGAGAAUAAGAAACACCACCGGGUCGUAGUGCGAUACUGGAUGAAGUGGAUCAAAAAAUCGGAUGCCAAUCACAGGCUGAAUCUCUUCUACCUCGCUAAUGAUGUCAUUCAAAACUGCAAGAGGAAAAAUGCUAUAGCUUACCGCGGCACGUUUGCAGAAAUCCUUCCCAAUGCCGCCCUGCUGGUCAGGGAUGCUAAAGUGCGUAGGUCAGUGGAGAGAAUCUUCAACAUUUGGCAGGAGCGGAGUGUUUAUUCAGAGGAGCUGAUCACUGAGCUCAAGGCAAAUCUGCAGAAAAAAGAGACAACGCCCCCUACAGUUACACCUAAAGCUGCCCUCAAGUCCAAGAUCGUAGCAGAAUUUGCACCUCAGGCGUUCAUUGAUCGCCUUUCUGCAUACAAACGUGGUCUAGAGGAGAGCGAGCUGAAAGAGAAACAACUUGCCGCUCUCAGAGUCGACGUCUGCAGCACCGAAGCCCUCAAGCAACUCAAAGAUAAAGCAGGAGGAAAUAAAUUCUCAAAGGAUUUCGAGGAAGGCAGCAUGAGGCUGCAGGAGAUUGUGCAGUUUCUGGAAGGACAGAAGGAGGCAGGACCGGCUCUGCUAGAGGCUCUGGGAAACGCUGACAUUUUUUAUGAAAUGCAGUACAAAGAGGUCAAAAUUGUCGCUAACGCAUACAAGACAUUCGCGAAUCGUGUUUUGAAUCUAAAACGCAAGCUGGACGCUCUGAAAGCCACCCUACCUGAUGCUGAGUCUCCGGUUCCCUCACCGUCUGAGGACGCACCCUCACCAUCCGGCUCCGAAUCACCCUUUCACGGACUGGGACGCAACCAAAGAACGAAAGAAGAGAAAGAUAACAGAGACGUGGAGGACAUGGACAUGUCUGAUGAGGAGACCUCAAAUGCCACAAACAUUAUUGUUGAAGACAAAAAAGAAAAAGUGCUUCCAUCUGCAAUUUCCAAAACCGUGAAUGCAACAGCAGCCAAGUCACCUACUUCAGCGCCUUCCACUAAAACAACGUCUGAACCCGCAGCCGUUCAGGCGGUAUCCUCGACUACAGUGACCACACCCACCAGUACUCUUAGCCCCGCCCCUUUAAAUCUGGCAAAUGUGGAUCUGGGGAAGAUCAGCUCCAUUUUGAACAGCAUCACGAAUGCCAUGAAGAAUACAGGUGUGAGUCCUGUGUCUCGCCCCUCUCCAGGAACCCCCACUACACAGCCAGGCCACACCCCCACAACAAAGGCCACGCCCGCUGUUGGAACUGUGGCGCCCAAUCCGUUGGCCAGCAUCCUGUCCAGAGUGGAUAUUUCACCAGAAGGAAUCCUUAAUGCACUCACAAAGACACACACACAUUCUGGUUUGUCUUCUCUGCUCUCCUCCACCCGCUCUGGCUCUCUCACCUCCCCGGUCUCUGUCCCCUCUUCUUUGGUCACCACAACGACAGUAACAGCAACAGAAACAGUAACGACAACCACCGCUCCAACAGCACCAACCACACCGAAGACUCCAAAAGCUUCGGAAAACAACAGUUUGUGUCAUGAGACCGAACGAGAGAGAGUGAUCGAGUGGGAGAGAGACAGAGAGAAAGAGCGGGAGAAAGACAGAAAGGAGGUCAUGAUGCCAAGCUUGGAGUCGAAAAUCAACAACUUCCUGCAAGUGAAUCCUGGAUUUGCAGGUGUAUUUGAGGCAGAAAGUAACAGCCCACUGCUUGUGGGUGGAGACUCCACGCCAGUUCGAGAUGAAAGGGGCGGGACUCCGACACAGGAUGAAAUAGUUGACAGCCCAUGUGUUACAGGCCACAAAGCCCACGUUUCAUCGUGGGGCACCGAAGAUGACCGGAAAGACCGAGACUACCGAACACCAUCAGGAAAGCUUGCAGUCAAAAACAAAGAGCCAGAAGUAGGGAAGAGGAGGAGUGAUGUAUCUUCUGGCCACACCUCCUCUUCCAGUUUGUCUUCCUUCUCUGUGCAGGAAGUGGCCACAAAAGCUAAAACGGUAGGGAGAAGAGCAAGUGCAGGAGGUCAGAGAGAAAAAGGCAGGGAGGAAAAAGGAGGGAAGAAGGCAACAAAGAAACAGGAAGCGAUUGCUGGAGACAACGAACGCUAUCGUCGUAUUGAGACCGUGGUUACUGCAGCAACUAGCGACGAAGAUCCGCUCGGUUACAGCAACCGCAUCCAGACAGUUGAGAGCAUUCGCGUGAUUGGUCGAGGUCCCAGAAGGUCCAGUGGUGCGACCAGAGGUGGUGGGGUGUGGUAUGAAGAGGCGGAGUUUAUGGAAACCCCAACUUUGCCUCAUCCUGGAAAUCAUGGCCCGGACAAUUCUGGAGACCUUGCCACUUCUGCCAAAGCUCAUCUGGCAGUUCCCCCAGGGCAGUACUCAUCACCACCACCCCCUCCAUUCUUCCCUCCUUCUCAGACCCUGGCCCCUCCAGUUGUUCCACCUCCUCACAUUGCUCCACCCACUCCACCUUCCUUGACCCCUUCUAGGGACUUCCCUCACUCCCCUACUACAUCUGCUGUUAUGGUGGGUGGCAUCCUGGUCCCCAUUGACCGAGUUUUGCCCCUGCCUCCUGCUAAUCUGCGUCCCGAGGCAGUGGCAGCCCAUGGGAGCGGGGCUAUCACUUCUAACAAUUCUAGGGGUAAAUCUCAUUCCAUGCGCCCCCUUCACCGCCCGCUAUUGGGGCAAAGCCCGACCUCGCCUUUACCCACCACCCCAACCACACCCACUACCCCUACACUCUCCAGAGAACCCCGGCCGCUUUUGCCUUCCCCACCCCGACCUCUUCUGCGCUUGCCUUCACAGAGGCUUCCGUUGCCCCUCCCCCUUCCCCGAGAGUCCUUGUUGCCCGGUGCGAAGCGGCCUGCCCCCGGCUACCGAGGUGCAUCCUUACAUGCUCCUAAACGACCAUUUUUGCCUCCUCGCUAUUAAGGGUUAUGUCGCUGACUAUUCAGAUGCAUGUGUUUACUUAGGCAUUGCUCCCUUGCUACUAUGGUAAAAGGUCACAUGAUAGCAGCCUAAACAAAUGCAUACUUAAAGCCUUCCCCCCCUCAGCUUGGUCUUUCCUAAAAGUCGGUCACUUAGACAAGAUGACGAGAUAAAAAAGGAGAGGAAGAAGAUGAACAGAAAGAGGAAAAGCUUCAGCCUUCAGCCAGCCAGUCAGAACGACUGCGACUCUUUGAGGCCUUCUCAAAAAGACCAAAACAGAAAGGGGCGGAGCAUGGACAAGAGCUGAGCGUC